rnacentral:rRNA from 1 species
UAGAGGAAGUAAAAGUCGUAACAAGGUCUCCGUUGGUGAACCAGCGGAGGGAUCAUUACUGAGUUUACGCUCUAUAACCCUUUGUGAACAUACCUAUAACUGUUGCUUCGGCGGGUAGGGUCUCCGCGACCCUCCCGGCCUCCCGCCCCCGGGCGGGUCGGCGCCCGCCGGAGGAUAACCAAACUCUGAUUUAACGACGUUUCUUCUGAGUGGUACAAGCAAAUAAUCAAAACUUUUAACAACGGAUCUCUUGGUUCUGGCAUCGAUGAAGAACGCAGCGAAAUGCGAUAAGUAAUGUGAAUUGCAGAAUUCAGUGAAUCAUCGAAUCUUUGAACGCACAUUGCGCCCGCCAGCAUUCUGGCGGGCAUGCCUGUUCGAGCGUCAUUUCAACCCUCAAGCUCUGCUUGGUGUUGGGGCCCUACAGCUGAUGUAGGCCCUCAAAGGUAGUGGCGGACCCUCCCGGAGCCUCCUUUGCGUAGUAACUUUACGUCUCGCACUGGGAUCCGGAGGGACUCUUGCCGUAAAACCCCCCAAUUUUCCAAAGGUUGACCUCGGAUCAGGUAGGAAUACCCGCUGAACUUAAGCAUAUCAAUA